rnacentral:rRNA from 1 species
CAGUCGCCGCGGGAACACGAAGGGUGCAAGCGUUACUCGGAAUUACUGGGCGUAAAGCGUGCGUAGGUGGUGGUUUAAGUCCGUUGUGAAAGCCCUGGGCUCAACCUGGGAAUUGCAGUGGAUACUGGGUCACUAGAGUGUGGUAGAGGAUAGUGGAAUUUCCGGUGUAGCAGUGAAAUGCGUAGAGAUCGGAAGGAACAUCUGUGGCGAAGGCGACUAUCUGGGCCAACACUGACACUGAGGCACGAAAGCGUGGGGAGCAAACAGGAUUAGAGACCCCCGUAGUCCCUGUCUCUUAUAC